rnacentral:rRNA from 1 species
UUGAACGCUGGCGGCAGGCCUAACACAUGCAAGUCGAGCGGAUGAAGGGAGCUUGCUCCUGGAUUCAGCGGCGGACGGGUGAGUAAUGCCUAGGAAUCUGCCUGGUAGUGGGGGAUAACGUCCGGAAACGGGCGCUAAUACCGCAUACGUCCUGAGGGAGAAAGUGGGGGAUCUUCGGACCUCACGCUAUCAGAUGAGCCUAGGUCGGAUUAGCUAGUUGGUGGGGUAAAGGCCUACCAAGGCGACGAACCGUAACUGGUCUGAGAGGAUGAUCAGUCACACUGGAACUGAGACACGGUCCAGACUCCUACGGGAGGCAGCAGUGGGGAAUAUUGGACAAUGGGCGAAAGCCUGAUCCAGCCAUGCCGCGUGUGUGAAGAAGGUCUUCGGAUUGUAAAGCACUUUAAGUUGGGAGGAAGGGCAGUAAGUUAAUACCUUGCUGUUUUGACGUUACCAACAGAAUAAGCACCGGCUAACUUCGUG